AUGUCCAAUUUGUUUGAUCAAGAAAUUAAUAAAAUUUUCCCCUUUGAACCGUACAAAGUACAACUCGAAUUCAUGAGAGGCUUAUAUAAUAUUUUAAAAAACUCAAACAUAAUAAAUGAACAAGUAAAUUCUUUUUAUGAAGCUAUUAAAAAUAGUGAAACUGCCAGUGAUAAGUUAAAGCAAAUUCAAUAUAAUAGCUCAAAUAUAUUUGACCAAACUAGUAUACUGAGUACGCAUAAUGAUAAUUAUAACAAUAAAAUUGAAUAUUUAAAAGAGGAAAAUAAUCAUGAAAAACAUAUUAUCUGUGAAAUGAAAACUGGUUCAGGUAAAUCUUUGACGUUAUUGGCACCAUUAAUAUAUUGGCUUUUAAAACACAAAUUUGAUUUGUUUAUAAUGAAGGAAAACUUGAAAUUAAAAGCAGAUGAACCCGAAUGGAUAAAAGAAAGUAUAGCUGAACGGGCUAUCGAAAAAUAUGCUAACAUAUUAGAAAAACAAAAAAGAAAACAAGAAUGCGAUACUAAUAUCCUUAAUAAAUAUUUUACUUUUGUUAAUGAUAAGGUAACUUUAAUAGAACAAAAAAAAAUUGAAAAGAGAGUUGUUGCAGAAACGAAUCGUCAGAGUAAGAAUACGGAUGACAUACCACUAAUCUACCAAAAUGAAGACGCUCCGAGCAAUUACUCUAUUGAGGACUCUGACAAAAAACAAAUCUUUAUUUGUAGUAGAACACAAUCGCAACUGAAUCAGUACUUUUAUGAAUUAAAAAAAAUAGAAAAAAAAAUGACAAAUGUUUUUAUAAAUAUGAUUAUUAUUGGUAGUAGAAAACAUAUGUGUAUAAACCAGGUAAGAUAACAGAAGUUGUUAAAAGUGUGUUCGCAAGCAUAUGUAUGUGCGUAUGUUGAUGAAAAUGCAACAACACAAAACAACACACACACAUACAUACAUGUAAACAAUUGCUUUUCUUUUCUUUUCUUUUAACUCCACAGGAUAUACUAAAAAAGUGUCCAAAUAUAAACGAACUGAAUGACACUUGUAAAAACAGUA
rnacentral:lncRNA from 1 species